UACAAACAGAAUUGAAAAGAUGGGACAAAACUUGUACUUUGGCACUAAUUUUUGAACUGCACUAUGCAUGAAUGUGCAAAAUUCUACUGCAGCAACGCUGCAUAAAUUCUUCAAAUUGGUAGUGCAGCAAAACUGCACAAUUCUAAUUUGUUAUGCAGCAAAACAUUUCUAACAAACCACAGUGCCAUUACCUAAUCAAUGCUGGUUCAUUUACUUAUGUAGAUAUGAAACCAACUGCAAGCAAGCUCUUAGUUGUGUUCAAUUCAAAUUUAUUCCUACCAAUUCUGCAUAACUCUUCAUAGAUAGUGCUCCUGACUUGGUGCAUAUGGAUAGCUCAACACUGGGCUAAGGAGACCUUACUUUAUGGACUACUGAUUUUUAAAGGGAUCAAAGACUCCUUUUUAACAUGAUUCCAAAAUAGAUAAUCCUUCUGAAUUGCUAAACCACGCCUUCAGCUCCUGCAGCUCCCACCUACAGCUCCUACAACUUCUUCCUCUAUUGAUUAUAUUCCUAAUACUGAACCAACCAGUCAAAUACUUAACACGUUUUGCAUUCAAUAUGCAAAAUACAGAACCUAACACUGUAAGAUUCAACAUGUUUUCUGGUGAUAUCUGAUCAAAUAAAAUGAAAAUUUAACUAGGAGAGGAAGAUAACGUAUUCAUGGAUGAUACCCAGGUGUACUAGGUCGAUUAGGCCCAGGUGAAGGAGGUGGGCUUGGCUUGACACCCAGACCUGCAAAUUAAGAUCACAGCACGUUAUUAACUGUUGAAUAUACACAUAAUAAGCUUUUAAAUUCAAGAAAAUGUUUAUUGUUUAUUGGUAAAUUAAAAAAAAAUGUACUUUUACUUGGUAAACACUUACAAGGACGUCAUCUAUCAAACAUUAAUGACAUGAUCGUGAUCUUACAAUUUUAAACACAUGCUACAAUCAAAAUCUUGGACCACAUGAAAAUAAAUGAUUAUGAUGUUGAAUCACUGCUAGCUUUUCAUUUUAUUUCGUGUUCUUUUUUGGAUUUUAAGUUUUUUGGAACUCUUGAAUUUAUGACGCUGGAAUCUGUAGGGGAAAUAGGUAGGUGUUUUUCAUGUAUCAAUAUAACGUUUAUGUCUUAAGAUGGUUAAUCUUGCACGAUAGUAAGGUUUACGUUUAUGUCUUAAAGAUGGUUAAUCUUGUACGAUUGUAAGGUACUGAUUAGGUUUUGGUUCUGUUUUUGAAGUUUACAGUAGGAAUCAUAAUCUCUAGAGCAUCUCUAAAGUAAUCCACAUUCUUUGACUGAUAAAAAAAUACAUGUUUACAUAUUUGAAUGAGGUAGACAAAGUUGUAGGUAAGUGCAGGUUUUUAUAAUAAUCCUUUCAAAACAAUAAUAUUAUAAUGUUUUUCCAGAAUCACCAAAACCCUACGUUUUCAUGAUACACUAAUUUUUCCAAAAAAAAGAAGAUGCAUGCAUGACACAUACGUGGUGGAAGUGAUCGUGAUUUUAUUCUUCUAUGCAUUUUGAUGAUUCAUUAGGAAGACUAACCUGAACCAAAACUGAACUGCAAAAGCAAAAGAAAGGCUAUGAUUAAUAGAAGAAAACGUAGAGAGAUUGAUG
rnacentral:lncRNA from 1 species